UGUUUCGGCUAGGGGGCCAUCCCGGCUUACCAACCCGAUGCAAACUGCGAAUACCGGAGAAUGUUAUCACGGGAGACACACGGCGGGUGCUAACGUCCGUCGUGAAGAGGGAAACAACCCAGACCGCCAGCUAAGGUCCCAAAGUCAUGGUUAAGUGGGAAACGAUGUGGGAAGGCCCAGACAGCCAGGAUGUUGGCUUAGAAGCAGCCAUCAUUUAAAGAAAGCGUAAUAGCUCACUGGUCGAGUCGGCCUGCGCGGAAGAUGUAACGGGGCUAAACCAUGCACCGAAGCUGCGGCAGCGACGCUGAUGCGUUGUUGGGUAGGGGAGCGUUCUGUAAGC
rnacentral:rRNA from 1 species